rnacentral:rRNA from 1 species
UUUAUACGGAGAGUUUGAUCCUGGCUCAGGACGAACGCUGGCGGCGUGCUUAACACAUGCAAGUCGAACGGUCUACCUCGACAGAAACCUUCGGGUUGAAGACGAGAUCUAGAUAGUGGCGGACGGGUGAGUAA